AGAACGAACGCUGGCGGCGUGGAUAAGACAUGCAAGUCGUGCGGAAGAAAGCGGGUAGCAAUAUUCGUUGUCUUCAGCGGCGAAAGGGUGAGCAACGCGUGGGUAAUUUGCCGCGAAGUCUGGAACAACUUGCCGAAAGGCGAGCUAAUGCCGGAUGUGACCGCUUGGUGGCAUCACCGGGCGCUCAAAGCUGGGGACCGAAAGGCCUGGCGCUUCGCGAUAAACCCGCGCCCUAUCAGCUAGUUGGUGAGGUAAUGGCUCACCAAGGCUAAGACGGGUAGCUGGUCUGAGAGGACGACCAGCCACACUGGAACUGAGACACGGUCCAGACACCUACGGGUGCAGCAGUCGAGAAUUUUUCACAAUGGCGAAAGCCUGAUGGAGCGACGCCGCGUGGGGAUGAAUGGCUUCGGCCCGUAAACCCCUGUCAUUUGUGAACAAACCUUCCGGUCCAACACACCGGAAGCUGAUAGUAGCAGAAGAAGGAAGGACGGCUAACU
rnacentral:rRNA from 1 species